rnacentral:tRNA from 1 species
GGGCCGUACGCGCCGGUGCGCGGCGCCGCCUGGCGGGCGGCGUACGCGGGGUUCGACACCCCGACGGUCCAC